GAUGAACGCUGGCGGCGUGCCUAAUACAUGCAAGUCGAGCGAACGGACGAGAAGCUUGCUUCUCUGAUGUUAGCGGCGGACGGGUGAGUAACACGUGGAUAACCUACCUAUAAGACUGGGAUAACUUCGGGAAACCGGAGCUAAUAACGGAUAAUAUUUUGAACCGCAUGGUUCAAAAGUGAAAGACGGUCUUGCUGUCACUUAUAGAUGGAUCCACGCUGCAUUAGCUAGUUGGUAAGGUAACGGCUUACCAAGGCAACGAUGCAUAGCCGACCUGAGAGGGUGAUCGGCCACACUGGAACUGAGACACGGUCCAGACUCCUACGGGAGGCAGCAGUAGGGAAUCUUCCGCAAUGGGCGAAAGCCUGACGGAGCAACGCCGCGUGAGUGAUGAAGGUCUUCGGAUCGUAAAACUCUGUUAUUAGGGAAGAACAUAUGUGUGAGUAACUGUGCACAUCUUGACGGUACCUAAUCAGAAAGCCACGGCUAACUACGUG
rnacentral:rRNA from 1 species